rnacentral:rRNA from 1 species
AGCGAACGCUGGCGGCACGCUUAACACAUGCAAGUCGAGCGGGCAUAGCAAUAUGUCAGCGGCAGACGGGUGAGUAACGCGUGGGAACGUACCUUUUGGUUCGGAACAACUGAGGGAAACUUCAGCUAAUACCGGAUAAGCCCUUACGGGGAAAGAUUUAUCGCCGAAAGAUCGGCCCGCGUCUGAUUAGCUAGUUGGUGAGGUAAUGGCUCACCAAGGCGACGAUCAGUAGCUGGUCUGAGAGGAUGAUCAGCCACAUUGGGACUGAGACACGGCCCAAACUCCUACGGGAGGCAGCAGUGGGGAAUAUUGGACAAUGGGCGCAAGCCUGAUCCAGCCAUGCCGCGUGAGUGAUGAAGGCCCUAGGGUUGUAAAGCUCUUUUGUGCGGGAAGAUAAUGACGGUACCGCAAGAAUAAGCCCCGGCUAACUUCGUGC